ACUUGCCUUUUGAUAGGGAAUAGUCAUGGAAUGUGAAACAUCUUUGGUACGUAACUUUAUUUUGGUAUAUCUUGCCGUGCCAUGAUUAAAAGCGCUGAGCAGUAGGGUGACCAGCAGGUGAGCGAGAUGAGUAUUUGGGAUACUCUGAAUCGGAACGCCAACGACGCAGCGCAGCCACCAAGCUCAACGAGGCUGUUAAUCCACCAAGCUCUGCUCAGACCCGGUAACCAGGUCCGAAGUCAUUGAGGUCGUCGCUAGGGAGGGCGUCAAAUUCGUCCCAGGUGGAGUAUUGGGUUAUGAGGUUUAUAAAAAAAUGGUAGGAGAAAAAAAUAAGCCAAAGCAGGGCGCUGAGUUGGGCGUGAAUGAUAAGGCAAACACAGAGAGACGGAAAAAGGAAGUGAAUGAACGCCUGAAGAGGUUGGAGAAACGAAUCUCUCAAUAUGUUCAAUCAAACCAACGCCUAGAGAUGUGGAGAAACAACUCUUCGCAACACAAUUCUUAGGGAUCAUUUUUAUUGUGUUCGUCUUUUCUUUUUGUAUUUUUUUUUAAAUGAGUUUGGUAAUGCUCCAAAUAUGUAUAUUUUAGAGUUUGACUGUCAUUUGGAAACAACUUUACUUCAAGUUCGACUGAUGCCGUUUUGCCAAAAUAUAUCAUAUGGUUAGUAUUUUUGUGGAGAAAAUAUAUGUCCCAAUUUUUAUGA